rfam:Spinacia oleracea cultivar SynViroflay scaffold52471.con0001.1, whole genome shotgun sequence.
UAAAAAGCAGGGUCCUAUUGCCUUAUUGUGAAUGGGCCUCUCGUAAACGUCAGGGAAAUCAAUUGUGUAUUGUUAUUGGGUGAACCACUUGAGUUUUCUCUAUGAUGGCAUGUUCAGUAAACGAUGCUACAUUG